CCAAGAUCCAGAUGAGUACUGGCAAUUUGGUGGAGGAUUGCUCUUUAUCUACUACAUUGUACUGCCACUUCCGAGGCUCUUAAGAAGACAACACAGAUCAACUGGCAAGGAACUGAGAGGGAACUCUCAAAAUAGUCCAGGACAAGAGAUGGAGGAGGAGAGUGUCUAGAUGCGCAAAUGACUGUCUGCAGUGUAAGCUGUACUGAUAAAUGUACUGUAUAGUUGCUGCUUCUUCUAACUGUCACCAAUUUAUAUCCUGUUCAAAUGUUCAGUAAAGACUGGGUCAAAUACAGGUUCAAAAUAUGUAUUUUAACAAAUAGGUAUUAAAUAGAACUCUUUAAUCUGACAUAAAUCUGCUUCUUUAAAUAUUGUCCCUGGAAUUUCAGAAUAUAGCAUAAUAUGAUGAUGAGUAAUUUUAAUAAAAUUGAAAAUAUUUCAAUA